AUAAAACAUGGGCUAACUAAAUGUCUGAAAACAAGUGCUGAUGUUUAGGACAAAAUUAUGAAAAUGCUUUGGAUAGGCAAACGUUUUAAAUAGCUUAA